rnacentral:rRNA from 1 species
AUUGAACGCUGGCGGCAUGCCUUACACAUGCAAGUCGAGCGGGGUGAUGGUGCUUGCACUAUCACUUAGCGGCGGACGGGUGAGUAAUGCUUAGGAAUCUGCCUAUUAGUGGGGGACAACAUCUCGAAAGGGAUGCUAAUACCGCAUACGUCCUACGGGAGAAAGCAGGGGAUCACUUGUGACCUUGCGCUAAUAGAUGAGCCUAAGUCGGAUUAGCUAGUUGGUGGGGUAAAGGCCUACCAAGGCGACGAUCUGUAGCGGGUCUGAGAGGAUGAUCCGCCACACUGGGACUGAGACACGGCCCAGACUCCUACGGGAGGCAGCAGUGGGGAAUAUUGGACAAUGGGGGGAACCCUGAUCCAGCCAUGCCGCGUGUGUGAAGAAGGCCUUAUGGUUGUAAAGCACUUUAAGCGAGGAGGAGGCUCUUUUGGUUAAUACCCAAGAUGAGUGGACGUUACUCGCAGAAUAAGCACCGGCUAACUCUGUGCCAGCCGCCGCGGUAA